CGAUGCAUCUCGUCCCAUUGAAUCUCCGUCUGAACACACAUGGUGCCAAGAACACGAUCCAAAAUCCAUAUCCCUUCACUUCAAAAAUUCCAGGCCAAACGCCGACGCUUCUUCACGGCACAACACCCUCACUCGCAAGAACUCGGGAUCCCAACUCAAAUCGAUUUGGCACCAACGCUCGCGAAUACGGAGAAAGAUCAAACAAAAUUAUUUAUUCGCGAAGAAUCAAGAAGACUUAAUGGAACUCGUGGCCGAUCCUUAUCAUUGAAUCGAAUCCAAAAUUAAAAACGCGCAUGGACGGACGAGGACGACGAGAGAAAACUCACCGGACGAUUUUGACGCGAUGACUCAGAGGCGUGAUGUAUCGGUUGUUAAUUCGUUCGUCGAUGUUGUCGCGUCUUGAAUCGCGUUGUGGAAAAGACUAAAGUUGGUGAUACACGAUCGAUUCAGAAGCUCUACGAGAAAUUCAAUGUCGUCGCUUUUGUCCAUGAUUCGAUCAUCAUUGUCGAUGCGUUGCGUAUCGCUGUUGUGGUUCUGAGAUGGAGAAUGUUGCGUUGUGGAUUGAGUUGACGCCAAGGAUGGUUCUUACCGUGAAGAGAAUCUAGGUUGAAGAAACGGCUAUGUCACGAUGAGGAAGCAAUUGAGGAUUGAAGGCUGAGAAUUCAGUUGAAGGUGAUGGAGAAUCGACUGGGAGAUUGGUUGAGGGUGAAGCCGUGUGAGAAGAGGAGUCAAGUUGUGUUAGGGAUUGAAGAGUUCCUUUUCUGAAUUUUGCAGGUUGUGUUAGAGAAGAAGAAUCGAUUGAAUGGUGACGGAGGGUGGUUCUUAUAGGAGAGUAAGGUUAGAGAGAUGGUUGGUUAUGGCAGUUGGAAGUAGUUAGAGUUUGUUGAAUUCGGUUCGAGUUUGUUUUUAGUUUGUUUUGACAGGUGGGAAGGGAGAAUUCAGUUAGCCUUUAGGUUGGUUGAAGAGAUGUUGGAGGAUAAGGAAAAUAGAUUCUGAAGGUGUUUGAAGUUGUUACAGAGGCUAAAUUCUGGAGGCAUUCUUCGGCAGUUGGUUUGUUACCGUCAAUGAUAUCAGUCACAACAUUUACAAAUAUUGCAGGAACUUUCAGUAGGUCUGCACUGACGGUGUUGCCGUAUGUUUUGUUUUGCUACUUGUGGCGGUUUGAUUGUCCGCAUUUUGGUAGCUUGUUGGUUACGGAGAUGCCUCCAUUUGGUUGUGGCUUAAUUUUGUGUAGGAUAAUAAGAGUUCUGUUUCAAGAGUAACGUUUGGAAGUAGAGAUUGAAGGAGGGUUUGGGCGUGGCAUUGUGAGGUAGUGGAAUGUGAUAUGCACGUUCGAAGGAGUGAUGAUAAGAAUUUUCUUGACAUAUUUAUUGAUCGUGUUCUGGAAUUCGUUCAGUGAAGGUAACACUGAUGAUGGUAAUGGGGCGAAUUUGAAGUUAUUGUUUGAGACAUUUGGGUUAGCCAAAGUAGAAUUUACUUUGGAUUGCUGGUUUUGUGGGAUUUGGCGGUUAGCUUGAAAUAUAAAGUGAGUCCAUUGUGGAAUUGUCAAGUUGUUGUUGUGAAUCAUUUUUAUAUUUUGUUUUCUUGAUGUUAGUUUGGCAAUGCGAAAAGUAAAUACCAAAGACUUCUAAAAAGCGCUUUUGCUUCAA